rnacentral:tRNA from 1 species
GCAGCGGUAUCGAAGUGGUCAUAACGGACAUGACUCGAAAUCAUGAUGCCCCCUUGAGGGGACGUGGGUUCGAAUCCCACCCGCUGCGCCA